UUCCUGCUUCAAAAACAGGGCUUCCUGACCCGAUAAAAGGGUGCACAUGGAAGUAGUUCCGCUCAAUUCUCUAAUACGACUUCGGGUGUGACCCCAACCCCACAAAAUGGUGAUCCUCGAGACCAACGGGCAUUGAACGAGAGAGAAGAAAAUCGUCCACAGAGAAUUGGAGUAUCCGGCCUAGUGAUAGUUAGAAAGAGUUGGCCAAUACAGAAUCUCAUGCGCCUCUCAUUGAUGAACCCCUUUUUCCUUUAUCCUCUACUGGUGGCUGAUUGAUUGAGCGCCGGUGUCACUCAUUCUUUAUGAGCGGAAGCCAUGCACCUAUCACCUAUAACCGGAGAAGUACUAUACGGCAUGGCACCUUCGGCGAGGACUCAACUCAACAGAGAAUGAUUUGACAAACAUUGAUCCAUGCUUGGCCUUAGCCUGAGCUCAACUCUGAAAAAGAAAAGUGGAGAAUCUCUCUAGCUUGUGGAAUCACUUCCCUGGAUGCUUAGAUAGCUCGAAAAAGUGCGCCACUUCUCCCUUAGAGCCCAUCUAUCUAAACGGGUAUAAAAACAGAGAAAUAGGCUCAUUAAGUGAAGUGAGAACAUAACUCGAUCUUUGCUAGGCGUGAGAAGGAAGCCCUCGGUAUCCUGAUAUUUCUGAACUCCGCGAAGAACAAUUCCAUGAAUAUGGAUAAGCAGGAGUCUUUGGGCUAGAGCGCACUAAAGAAGACGAAAGUGAUGACUUGCCAGCGUUGGACGUUUCUCUCCUCUAGCUCUGUGCAAGCUGAACUCCUUGGCGAAAAGGGAGUAUGCCAGUGGGUAGCUCUUCUAUAACCUCCGUUUGAGGUGUUGAUGUACGAUUUCCUAUGCCGAUGCCGUUUCUAUACUCAGAAUAAAAGCCUCAUAGCGAAGUCGAAGUAGAUUAUCCAACCGAAUGCCAUUGACUUUAGUCUUUAGUAUCUGCCAGUUCCGGGUAUGUUGAAUCUCCAGAGGGAUUUCCUCGAGGCGAAGGGCCAGUUUCUCCGAUUGAUCUUGAAUUUGGAUAUGACUGCGCUAGAGCAAGGUAAACCUAAGGCCUAGGCCUGACGAUGAAGGCCAAAAGUGUCAAUUCUUUCCUAAUGAGCCUGUGUCCGAGGGCUUCAAAUAUGUGUCCCUCAUACCUGCCGAUCCUUCCGCAAAAGGAAUAUGUUUUUCUCAAGCAAUGCGUUAUAUCCAGAUCGAUGAGACAGAUAUGGGACUUCUACUAAGAGAAAAAAGUAUGCGAUUCUAAGGCCUAUUUCUAAUGGCGAGAAUUGGCGAUAGGGACCCUUGACGAUAGAUCGGCUUACCAAUGGUUAUAAUGGUAGUAAAUAAGAAUGCAUUCAUUAUAGGUUACUCGAAAAGGUAUGCAAGCCCAGAUCUUUCCGUAGGAAAUAUUAUCAAUUGGAUGGCUGUUUACAAUUACUUUCUUAUCACCUCCUGCCUGCCAUAACUGUUAUAAGGUUUACUGACAUGGUGAGUGGAGUCUCGAAGCAAUAGAUAUUCAUAAAUCUUUCCUUCUCCUGCUCAUCCCUUGCUUGUGGGAAGUGCCAUAUGAAUUUGCAUGGGAAAGAAAAGGCACCGAUUUCACUCCCUUCGGUCGGGGUACGCCCGAGCCAGUGAAAAACGAAGUGCACUUUUGGAAAUGACGAAAUUCUUCAGUCAACUAUGGAAUUGUGAGUGAAACAAGAGAGCGGCGCCUAAGGUGGAUACCUAGGCAAGUCGCAGUCAGAGACAAGGCAAGCAAGAACCCCGGUAUCUGCUGCUUCAUCGUUCGUACUAACCAAAAGAUCAAGAUGAUGAACUAGCCUCGAGGCACAACUUGAGAGGUACGCCAGUACCAUAGCUCGUACAAGUAAGAGGUUUUUCAACAUGGGCAGCAGAUUAAGUGAUUUAUUAUUGGAAUACGGGUAUUAUACACCAUUUCUUUGUUCCAUAUUCUAUGCUUUGCUGGUGAGAAAGAGAAACUACUUUGGAUCCCCGACAACCAUGACAUCUUCUCAACGAAAUCCGCUUUUGAUCAGGGGAAUCCUUAAUCGAACACUAGGUUUUCCCUCAAUCUAACAACCGGGGACCUAUCAAAGAUAUCACCUAUCCCUAUUCGAAUCAGCAUUCCUUUCCUUUAGUUUCAAACAACUAUGCAUUCUAAUACAAACAAGAAUUGUAGUUGCCUAAACUAUGAAAACUUAAACAAGAGGGCGUAUGGGUUAAUAGC
rnacentral:lncRNA from 1 species